rnacentral:rRNA from 1 species
UUCGGUGGGGAUUAGUGGCGAACGGGUGAGUAACACGUGGGCAAUCUGCCCUGCACUCUGGGACAAGCCCUGGAAACGGGGUCUAAUACCGGAUAUGAGUCUCCAAGGCAUCUUGGAGACUGUAAAGCUCCGGCGGUGCAGGAUGAGCCCGCGGCCUAUCAGCUUGUUGGUGAGGUAAUGGCUCACCAAGGCGACGACGGGUAGCCGGCCUGAGAGGGCGACCGGCCACACUGGGACUGAGACACGGCCCAGACUCCUACGGGAGGCAGCAGUGGGGAAUAUUGCACAAUGGGCGAAAGCCUGAUGCAGCGACGCCGCGUGAGGGAUGACGGCCUUCGGGUUGUAAACCUCUUUCAGCAGGGAAGAAGCGAAAGUGACGGUACCUGCAGAAGAAGCGCCGGCUAACUACGUGCCAGCAGCCGCGGUAAUACGUAGGGCGCGAGCGUUGUCCGGAAUUAUUGGGCGUAAAGAGCUCGUAGGCGGCUUGUCACGUCGGUUGUGAAAGCCCGGGGCUUAACCCCGGGUCUGCAGUCGAUACGGGCAGGCUAGAGUUCGGUAGGGGAGAUCGGAAUUCCUGGUGUAGCGGUGAAAUGCGCAGAUAUCAGGAGGAACACCGGUGGCGAAGGCGGAUCUCUGGGCCGAUACUGACGCUGAGGAGCGAAAGCGUGGGGAGCGAACAGGAUU